rnacentral:rRNA from 1 species
GAUGAACGCUGGCGGCGUGCCUAAUACAUGCAAGUCGAGCGAACAGAUGAGGAGCUUGCUCCUCUGACGUUAGCGGCGGACGGGUGAGUAACACGUGGAUAACCUACCUAUAAGACUGGGAUAACUUCGGGAAACCGGAGCUAAUACCGGAUAAUAUAUUGAACCGCAUGGUUCAAUAGUGAAAGACGGUUUUGCUGUCACUUAUAGAUGGAUCCGCGCCGCAUUAGCUAGUUGGUAAGGUAACGGCUUACCAAGGCAACGAUGCGUAGCCGACCUGAGAGGGUGAUCGGCCAAACUGGAAAUGAGACACCGGCCAGACUACUACGGGAGGCAACAGUAGGGAAUCUUCCGCAAUGGGCGAAAGCCUGACGGAGCAACGCCGCGUGAGUGAUGAAGGUCUUCGGAUCGUAAAACUCUGUUAUUAGGGAAGAACAAAUGUGUAAGUAACUAUGCACGUCUUGACGGUACCUAAUCAGAAAGCCACGGCUAACUACGUG